AUAGCCUAACGGCUGAACCAGCAACUUGCAAGAAUGUAUAGCAAUAGCUAUUUGCACUAAAAAUGUUUAGUGUGAAAUCGACUAUGUCGAAUAAAAUUCUGGGUAGAAUUAUGAUAAUGACAUUAGCUAUUCAUAAGUCUUGACCAAAUUACGUGCCAGCAGUCGCGGCAAUACGUAGAAGCCAAGUGUUAUUCAUCUUUAAUAGGUUUAAAGGGUACUUAGACGGUAAAUAAAGCCUUUAAAGGGUACUAGUUUGCUAGAGUUUUAUAUGAAGGGGUUUUAAAGUACUGCUGGUGUAGAGAUGAAAUUCAGUUAUACCUUACAUGGCACAGGUUAAGGCGAAGGCAUCUUCUUAUGUAAAAACUGACGUUGAAGGACGAAGGCUUUGUGUCUCGAACAGGAUUAGAUACCCUAGUAGUCUAAGCAGAAAAUGAUGAAUGUCAUAGAUUAGAUAUAAUUUGAUCUAUAAAUGAAAGUGUAAGCAUUCCACCUCAAGAGUAAUUUGGCAACAUUGGAACUGAAAUCAUUAGACCGUUUCUGAAACCAGUAGUGAUGUAUGUUGUUUAAUUUGAUAAUCCGCAAAAAACCUUACCACAACUUGAAUAGAUAUAUUUUAUCAUACAAGCGCUGCACGGCUGUCUUUAGUUAAUGUCGUGAGACUUUGGUUAGUUCCAUUAAAUUAACGUAAACCCUUACUUUAUUUUUAUAUAAAGUAGUUCACCGCUAUAUUGGAUGUGAUAACAGGGAUCAAGACAAGUCAUCAUGGCCUAAAUAUUGU
rnacentral:rRNA from 1 species